GCACCCCGCUCCGCACCUCGGGCCUGCCCGGCCCCUCCUCCGGCUCGGGCUGCCGGCGGGGGCAGGUGGGGCCCGCUUCGGACGCCGGCGGCGGGAUGGAACCGGUGAUCUUGGUGCCUGAGGAGCCCCGGUGGUCCCUCGCGGUGGGGUCGGAGGGAGGUUUCCUCCUUAGGGACAAGCGGGGGACGGAGCCGGGAGGUUAAUGGCCACGUAUCCACCACAGGGCCUUCCCGGCUUGGCCGGUGGGCUGCGGGGCAGCGCAGUGGGGAGAGACCUUUCCAGCUCGUCCCUUGACCCGUGUUUAGAGCUCUGAUAGUCAUAAUUGGCGCUGGUGGGGCUGCGCCUCCCAUCCUGGGGGCAGGGCUGGGCCCCUCAGGGCAAGAAGGACACGGAGGGGCUGGAGCGUGUCCAGGGAAAGGCAAGGGAGCUGGGGAAGGGGCUGGAGCAGAAGGAGAAGGGGCUGGAGAACUUGUGAGGAGCAGCUGAGGGAGCUGGGGUGUCCAGCCUGGAGCAAAGGAGGUGAGGGGAGACCUGCUGGCUCUGCAGCUCCUGAGAGGAGGUUGGAGCCAGGGGGGUCGGGCUCUGCUCCCCAGGAACAAGCGACAGGACCAGAGGGAACGGCCUCAAGUUGUGCCAGGGGAGGCUGAGGUUGGAUCUGGGGAACAAUUCCUUCCUGGCAAGGGUUGUCAGGGCCUGGCCCAGGCUGCCCAGGGCAGGGGGGGAGUCCCCAUCCCUGGAGGGGUUUCCAAGCCCUGGAGAUGGUGCUGAGGGACAUGGGGCAGGGGUGGCCUGGGCAGGGCUGGGGGAAGGGUUGGACUGGAUGUCUUAAAGGGCUUUUCCAACCAAAACAAUUCCAUGAUUCUAUGCUUUUGUGUAUCCUCAUUCUUCCUACUACUUUGUGUUCUGUGAUACUGAGUGACAAGUUGAAAAGGCUACUGCCAAGAGUUAUGGUCUCUAAUGGUCCUCUUUGUUUCUAAUCCUGGUUCCCACACUCCAGGCUCCUAGGGACACAGCUGAAAAUCAUAGCUAUGUUUCUCGGGGAGUCAUCUGGAGAUUCCUGCCUAUUGCUUCUGACACAGUAACAAAGCCAAGGACACACUAGUAAUGAGCCAGGAUCUUCCUCUCUCUCCAAAAGUCACUGCUGAACUUUUGGCUGCACCUUCCCCUGCAAAUUUAUAUUUUUAGUGCCCUGCAGUUGUGAUCCCACCAGUGUUUGGGAUCUCCCUUGCCAUGCUGGACCAAAAGAUGAGCUGAUCUUGUGGCUGUUUCCAGCCAUGCUCCUGUCAGGAGCCAGUCCCUGCAUGUGCUGGUUGCCUGGCACAGCCUGACCCUUGUACACCCCCUGCGCUGCCUGUCCCUGCUUCCCUGCUCUCCAGGCAUACAGGGAUCAGCUCUGCCUCUAGCCUGGAUUCUUGGCCAUCUCCCAGAAACUGCUUUUAUUGCUGCUCUUCUGUGCUCACUGCUUAGUCAACAUGCUUUAUGGGCAGCGUGAGACAUGUUCUCUAUCAGGCACAGAAAAACAACCUGCUGCUGCCACGAAGGAUGGGGCACACCUCCCUCCCAGGGUGUCCUCCAGGCAGGCUCCUGUCUCCCAACAGCCAGCUAAAUGUCAGCAACAGGCCCCAUCUGAGGAGGCCAUGGGAACCUAAUCCUUCCUCUUGGGUCAGCUAUAACCAGAACAGCUAAAUUGGAAGCAUCAAUAAUAAUGUAUGGCUAUCAACUCUCUAGGUGGCAUUUAAAGUCAGCAAACAACUGCAAGGGUUGGAUUUCAGAAAUUUUGCCCAGUAAGUGAUGGUGAGGCCAUCGAUGAUGGAAGCAGUUUUUAUCCCAGACACAUUAGGAGACACAGUAGUGCUCUUAAAAGGAAGUGAGAUCUCCAGUAGCAGCUGGAAUUAGUAAGCUCCAUAGAUACUCAGGCUUGGAAUGCCUCAGCUGAGCAGAAAGAACAGAAAAUGAAAGGAAUAACCACCAGAAGUGGAUUGGUUUUUUUUGGGGGGGUAUGAAUUUGGAGGUUUUUUGGGAGAAAGAGUAUGAGAAAGGAAGAAGAAUAAUUGGGCUAGGAAAAAAAGGAUUUAAAUGCAAUUUGUGGUGAGUUAUUUCAGCAUGAUCCAGCUCACACAAGUUUGAUAUGUGGAUACCUACCCCAUACGUGUACUAACAUGGGACUAAAUGUUGCUGGUUUGGCUCUCUCUAACAAACAUCCAAAUCAUGGUCAUAAAUUUGUUACAGUUGGGAAAAUGUCCUGCCCUCCCACCCCUCCAGGUUGUGCCCCCAGAUGUGGCUGCAUUGUCAGUAUCAAUGCAUGAUGAUUUUUGCUGAUUCCAAGCAAGGCAGUGUGUGAGUGUAAAACGUGUACAGGUGAACAUAUUCUGCACCCCAGAACCUCAGUGUUUCAUGAACUCUUCCAAACCAGCAACAUCUUAAAGGGAAUAGGAAAUUAGAGGGCUGUACUAUUCCUUGUCAUAAAGGGAACAUCCAAGAAUGAGUGAAAACUUGUGCAAGGCUCACAUUUCCCUUGCAACCUCCCUUUCUAUUCCUGGUGCAGCUACACACAAACCAGGGAUGGGCUGUUCUUUCCUCCCUGGAUAGGGUUCCUUUUCAGCUACAGUUGUCUCUUUAUCCCAGUUACUUUUCAACUCUGUUCUUAUCUUAGUUACUAGUUGGUAAAGAUUGGUCUUUGAGAGUUUGAAUAGUGAAAGAUUUCUACAAGGUUAAGCCAAAAAGAAAAAAAAGAAGUGCCUUGAAGUGUCACAAAUUCAUCCCUCUCGAGUCUGUUUUUUUAUUUAAUGUCUAGAUGAAAAUAUUCCCUCCUGAGUCCCAGUGUGUGUGGCUUGGUCCCUGGGACACCUGCCAAGGCAAGAAUUAUAAAUGCCCGAAAUCAUGUGCUCAGCAGGUGUAAAUUGUGUUCACCUUUUGUCCUUAACCCCAGAGGCAGUUUCUCUUUAUUAGCAAGGGAAGAGAGAGAGAUUAUCAUCUUUUCCUGACUGCCUGCCAAAGUUAUGUAUCAGAAGAAGAAAAAUCUCUUCCUGCAUUCACAGCUACGUUUUCUCCUGAUCUGUCCUCAGGAAAACCUCUUGGUGAGGAGCCAGGGGGUAAGAAUGAUCACAGAGGAACUGAAGUGACCCAGACAGAAGCAGAAGCUCUCUACUGAGAUUUUUUCAAGCAGGAUGUGUGGUGUGCCAGAGAGAGAGAUUAUAUGAAGAAAAAAGAAUGGAAAAGGCUCUUUGGAAUUUGGUUUAUAUUAUUUUCUUUCUGUAAGACAAUGGCAGACCAAAAUCAUCCCCAGUGAACACACACGUCUGCUUUUCAUCCAGGUGUUUUCUUCAUUGAGAAAGGAAAAAUCUUGGAAAACCUGUCCAAGGACAUACACAAUCACUUUGAAAGCCCUAACCUACUAUUCCAAUGCAGAAUGAAGAAAUACAGGAUUUGGGUCUCCUCUUCCAGUGCCCAUCUCCCUGGCAUUGCUUGCCUGAUGGCUUCUGUUUGUGCCCAUUAGAGCAGCAUCUGGGACAAACACUCUUGGAGUGUUCCCGGGUUUAUAAGGAAGUUUUGCAGCUCAGUUGUGCUGGGAGAAGUUGUUUUAAAUACCCACCUAUAUCAUUGUCACUUUUGGUCUGGUGACCUUUUGUAAUCCAGAGCUGUUCAGCUGGAAAGAAAGGGAUACAGGGAGAUCUGGAAGUUUCCUCGUUGCUGGUACCUGCACCAAACCAGCGCUGCUGGAGCCGGCACCGCGCCCCGGGUCCCUCCCAGCACUGGGUCUGACCACGCCAGCCAUCCUGGAGCUUCCCCAGCAUUUCAGAUGAUACCUUUUCAUCUGCAGAAAUAUUUUCCUCUGCAGAUUUAAAUAAUUAAUUGGGACGUGCCCAGUGGGUCUUGAGAUAAAGGCAGAAGAGGCAGCAGAUCCCUGUGACCAAGUGACCUUUUGCCGUCCCGCUCGUCCCUGCGCCUCGCUGUGCUCAGAGGGACGCUGUCAAAAUUGCUAGGCCUUAAAACUUUAACCUGCCCUGACAAGUUGUUCUACAUUAUAAGUCUUACCCGAAAGAUUA